rnacentral:rRNA from 1 species
CGCGUGGGAAUCUACCCAUCUCUACGGAAUAACCCAGGGAAACUUGGACUAAUACCGUAUACGUCCUUCGGGAGAAAGAUUUAUCGGAGAUGGAUGAGCCCGCGUUGGAUUAGCUAGUUGGUGGGGUAAAGGCCUACCAAGGCGACGAUCCAUAGCUGGUCUGAGAGGAUGAUCAGCCACACUGGGACUGAGACACGGCCCAGACUCCUACGGGAGGCAGCAGUGGGGAAUAUUGGACAAUGGGCGCAAGCCUGAUCCAGCCAUGCCGCGUGAGUGAUGAAGGCCCUAGGGUUGUAAAGCUCUUUCAACGGUGAAGAUAAUGACGGUAACCGUAGAAGAAGCCCCGGCUAACUUCGUGCCAGCAGCCGCGGUAAUACGAAGGGGGCUAGCGUUGUUCGGAAUUACUGGGCGUAAAGCGCACGUAGGCGGACAUUUAAGUCAGGGGUGAAAUCCCGGGGCUCAACCCCGGAACUGCCUUUGAUACUGGGUGUCUUGAGUCCGGAAGAGGUGAGUGGAAUUCCGAGUGUAGAAGGUGAAAUU